rnacentral:lncRNA from 1 species
AUCUGCAAGCUGAGGAAAAAGGAGGCCAGUCCAAAUCCCAAAGCUGAAGAACUCGGAGUCCGAUGUUCAAGGGCAGGAAGCAUCGAGCACGGGAGAACGAUGGAUCUCUUCCGCAUCCUCCAGGCCGCAUCUCCAGCACCUCACACCCUGCUGGCAGCGACAGACACUGGUCCCCGCCAGCUCCGGGGUCUUGUCCCGUGCCCAGCCAGCACCCAGCCAUCGCCCAGCCAGUGCCCAGCCAUGCUGCCCCGGGCGCUGCUGCUCUCCUUCUGCGCAGCAGAACAGGGUUGGGAAGGGAGCUUCGCCCUCAUCGCCCCUAACCAGACAGUACUCAGCCAGCGUCCAGAAGGCAGCAGUCAGAAACAGUGCGGCUCCAGCAGCUUUCUUUCUAGCGGGGCUAAGACAUUCCUCAAAGAGACGGCCGCGCAGGUCACUUCAGAAGCAUGUGCAAUGCAGGGAAGGACAUCACCGGGGUGUGGACAGGGACGGGCGUUGUGGGGGUCUGUGGACCAGGGGGCGGCAAGGGUUCUCGGAGAAAGGGAGCCGUGGGUGAGCCUGAGGGGGAGAAGGAGCCACCAAGAAAGCCAGGAAAAGCCCUGGCUUGGAGGGUGGCGGCUGCUGAUGCAGGUGGGAGGGGAGGGCGCAGGGCCCCAUGGCUGCGACCCACAUGGCGGUGGGUGGUCAGGUUUUAGGCCCUCUGGCUGCAGAGUCGGGGCGUGUGGGGACUGCCGAGGGUAGAGGGGUCUUGGGCCCAGGUGUCGGCAGGCAGGCAGAGAAGGGCUAAGUUCAAGGCCAUGGAACUGACUAGAGGCUCCCGGGUAGGGCUGGAGAGGCCGGCGGGAGGGGCGCCCUGCAUGGGGCUGGGGUGCCAGGGGUGGACACCGUCCUAAAAUCAAUUAUGCGGGCCACAGCCAGUCAUUAAAAAAAUAAGCAGAAUGCUUUUCUCAGUGACAGGAAGCAUCCUCCCCUACGGUGGGUGUGAGGAGCUUGUUCUCCUUGGCAAGUGCCUCCUCAGCCCUGGCCCCUGGCUUCCAUGCCACGGCCUGUGCCCAGCUCUCCAGUCUCAUUCUCCUCUCCUGGGGCAUUUAGCUUGAAGGGUUCCUUGUGGCCCAGACCCCCAAGGUCCCAGCACCAAGCCCUUCUUUCCUUCCCUUCUCUUCCUUCCUUUUCAAUACAUUGAGCCCUUGUGAUGUGGCUGGCAUCAUGCUGGGCCCUGGGAAUAUAAUGAAUGAGGCUCGUUCUUUGCUCCUAAGUUGCCUAUACCAGGUGAUACAGACAGACAAGCAAAAAGGUCUCUUCCCUAAAAGCUUUUAAAAAAUCCUGAUGCUAGUCCCAGCAGCAGAUCUUUGCUUUAGGGUGGGCCUGGAAAUUGGUAUAUUUGAAAAGCUUCCUAGGUGACUCCAGCUUGCAGCUCUGGUUAUGAGCCCCAGAUGGAGGGGCAGUGCCCUGCCAUGGAUAUGGGCCUGGAGCUGAGAGCCUGCCCAGGGUACUUGAGUCUGGGCUGUAUUCCUUCCCACUGAGUGACCUUGGCUGUGCCUCUUUAACUCUCUGUGACUUGGUUCCUUCAUUUGUAAAACAGAGUGCUAUCUUAGGCAGCUGGAAGAAUUCCUUGAGCUGAUGGCACAUGGCGGGUGCUCAGCAAGCAUUGUCUAUUGUUAUCAAGCACUAACAAAGGUGCACUGCAGCAUGUAGGAAAGGCACCUCACCUUUUCUGUAGAAAGGAUGGGGCAGAAGAGUGAGGAGUUAGCUGGGCAAAGGGACUGGGGAGAUGAGGGAAUGGGAGAAUAGGAAUCGUGGAUUGAGGGAGCUGGAGGAGGUGGCCGGCUCUUCAAGAACAAGAGAACAGCUUGUGCCAAGGCUGGGAGGUAGAGCUGGAUAUGACUGGUGGGCCAGCGGCGAAGUGCAGAGUGGGCGGGAAGAGGCUGGGGAGGCCCACCCGAGUGUGGCUGAAAGCUCUUUGAGGACUAGGGGCUGGGGUGGGGACAGCCAUGCUAUGACAGCCUCUCCUGUUCCAGCCCUGCAGCUGGUGAGCAGUAAGAGGGACUUGGUUCUGGUGAAGGAGGCGCUGAGCUGGUACGACGCCCAGCAGCACUGCCGGCUGCACUACACAGACCUCGCUGACCUGCAGCCAAGUGGCCUGUGGAAGCUCUACUCCCUCAUGACCAGCACCCCGGCUUGGAUUGGCCUCUUCUUCGACGCAAGCACUUCUGGCCUGAGAUGGUCCAGCGGCUCCACCUUCACAGCCCUGGAGUGGGGCCAGAAGCUACCUGAAUUUGGGGUGGGCUUCUGUGCCACGCUGUACACUUGGCUGAAAUUACCCAGCAUAGGGGCUGCCUCCUGCACAGCCCAGAAGCCCUUCCUCUGCUACUGUGGUGUGUUCACAUUCAUAUUUCAGGCUUGGUCUUUCCCCCAGGGGCCUCACUCUGUUGCCCAGGCUGGAGUGCAGUGGUGUGAUCAUAGCUCACUGUAACCUCCAACUCCUGGGCUCAGGUGAUUCUCCUGCCUCAGCCUCCUGAGCAGCUGGGACUACAGGUGCAUGCCACCAUACCUGGCUAAUUAAAAAACAAAACAAAACAAACAAAAAACCAACCUUAAUAGAGACAGGGUCUCGCUAUGUUGCCCAGGCUGGUCUCAAAUUCUUGCCUUCAAAUGAUCCUCCUGCCUCAAGUCUCCCAAAGUGCUGGGAUUAUAGGCAUGAGCCAUUGGGCCUGGCCCAGGGUUGGUUUUCAAUAGCAAAUGACGGGGCAGGGAGAGACAGAGAGAGAAGCACCCUUUCAGAGGAUAACUGGUCAUGACUUUACUCUUUUUGCCACAUCACUUUCUCUCUGUGGCCUCUAUUUCUAUCUCCUCUGCACCCCUAUUCGAAGACCUCAAUAGAAAAAAUGGGUGUAAGUCAGGAUAGAAUACAAAUAAAAUUUGGAAAUUUC